ACUCUACAUUUUUCUACUUGUUUCUAUAUUAAACUAAAUUAAGCUAUUAUCUUCAAAAACAGAGCAAUGGGUUUCUUCCUUGUUGAUCUUGAAUUGCUGAUUGCUGGAACCGUUGAACCCAAAGCUUCGAUGUGAUAUUUUAUUUUAUUAAAAUUUCAAGUUGAAAAUUAGCUUUCAUAGUUUAGUAAUAUACUAAAAAACAUUUUGGCUUUUUAUGUGGUUAACAUAACAACAUAGUUCAAUAAGGUCCACCUUGUAUGAUGUGACUAUCUUAUUCAAUAUUUCUGAUUUUGAGAAAAGCAUUUGCCAAUCAUAUCAAACGUCCACCUUGUAUGAUGUGACUAUCUUCUUAUUCGAUAUUUGUGGUUUUGAGGAAAGCAUUUGCCCAUCAUAUCAAUUAUCAGGCUACUGAAGACAGUGGAUAAAAUUGAUAUGGUGUUUUGUUACCAUGAUAUGGAGGGUAAUGGUGGAUGAGUGUGGGAUGACACUUACAGGACAAUAAGAAUCGCGUUUGAGAGAACUGAAAUGCAUUCUAAGCUAGUAUUUCAUCUUAGCCAAGUAUUCAAGUUUAUGAAACUACUGUCUGUAAGACAGGUAUUACGAUGUAAGCAAAUACAGUUGUAGCAAAUAAUAUUAUAUCUUUGAUAAAUAAAAUUAAUUUGAAUUUA
rnacentral:lncRNA from 1 species